rnacentral:rRNA from 1 species
UACGUAGGGUCCGAGCGUUAAUCGGAAUUACUGGGCGUAAAGCGUGCGCAGGCGGUUUUGUAAGCCAGAUGUGAAAGCCCCGGGCUUAACCUGGGAAUGGCAUUUGGGACUGCAAGGCUGGAGUACGGCAGAGGGAGGUGGAAUUCCAGGUGUAGCAGUGAAAUGCGUAGAUAUGUGGAGGAACACCGAUGGCGAAGGCAGCCCCCUGGGAUGUGACUGACGCUCAUGUACGAAAGCGUGGGGAGCAAACAGG